UACGUAGGGGGCUAGCGUUGUCCGGAAUCAUUGGGCGUAAAGCGCGCGUAGGCGGCCCUGUUAGUCCGCUGUAAAAGUCAAAGGCUCAACCUUUGAAUGCCGGUGGAUACUGCAGGGCUAGAGUCCGGAAGAGGCGAGUGGAAUUCCUGGUGUAGCGGUGGAAUGCGCAGAUAUCAGGAGGAACACCGGUGGCGAAGGCGGGAUCCUGGGCCGGUACUGACGCUGAGGUGCGAAAGCGUGGGGAGCAAACAGG
rnacentral:rRNA from 1 species